ensembl:lncRNA
GCCACAAGUGGGUGCAGCGGGCGCAGCCCCCAGCCCUGGCGCCUCGGACACACCCACUCGCCGCCGCACUCACGCGCCUCCCAUCCACCACGCACAGACGCCCACGCGCGCACUCCCGGGCGCACGCUGGCACCUCCACAUGACCGCAAAGGCGCCCGGAAUCCUGAUGCCAGCAAGGUCCUUGGGGAUCACCUAAUCCAUCCCCCUGCCUGCAAGCGGGACCAGACUUCCACCCCGCAAUUCGACGAGAGCCCCAGUCCCACGAGGCCCUGGAGCGAAGGACUUUCUGAAAGCCCUCCGGCGUUGCUUCUUCAGAAUGAAAUACACCUGUGUCCGGAAGGUCUUUCACACAGCUAACCUGAGGACUCCAGGCUGUUAAAUAGGCUCCUAGGACCACCCCACCAACUCUUCGAAUGACUCUGAAAAGCCCGAAGCCCCAAUUCGAGUCUGUUAGUCUCAGCCCCUUUCUUCCACCCAGAAAAUGGGGCUGUAGAAGUUCACUUAGAUAGGCAGAUCCUUGACACCCAGCACUUGGUGGUAACCUUGGCGCCCUAGGCUUCCACUCCUGGCUGCCACCAUCAGGCAGAUCCAGGACAGGUUCCUUUGGUCACCCCCAGCUGCCUCCUGCUGAGGUGGGUUCAGUUACUUUUAAAAAUAGUCCAAAGCCAUUCUGAACCAAAGUCUUGAAUCAGCUGUGAAGCCAGAUUUGGAGAAGUAUCCAUCUCCGGUUCAGCAGGGAACGCAGGAGGCCAGGCCUGGGAGGAGAGUCCAAGGGCUGACAGUGUCUGGUGGAGCCUCAGCAUCUCUGCACCAACCGUGUGCCCUCCUGAGGUUAUUGCUUGAAGGACCACGUUCAUUUAUCAGAGCAAAACAAUAUUUCCCAGCCUCCCCUUCAGAAUGGUGAGGACAUGUGACUGAACUCUGGCCAACAGGAUGUGAGCAAAAGUGAUCUGAGUAGUGGGAGAAAACGUUGGACUUCAGUGGAUUGAAGAGUGGAUGUGAGGUGAAGAAAAGGAAAAAAUGUGUGCAGACAACUCUUGAGAAGCCUCAAGCUUUCAAGGAGAGGGACAGAGAAAUGGGGUGGCAGCUAAAUGCUGCUGUGGGAACAAGGAGGGCGUGCUGAGAUCCCAGAUGUGUGUCUCUCCAGAUCCGGAGUGCCAGCCUCUAGGCCAUUCUGGCUGAAGGCUUCAUGUGUGUUAUUUUUACCUCCCAACGAAACCGUAAGCCUCUCAUCGUCAGGAACUGUCACGAGGACAUGGGCUGACCCUGGGACUGGACACUCAACUUGCAUUUGUCGGAUGGAGCAGAAUGAGACAGGAAAGCCCAGUGCUGGGCGUGUUUUCCCCCUGGGCAGCCUAGCAAGCCACCAACAGCCCCAGCGACCACCAGAGGGAAGGGAGCAGGCUUUUGAGUCCAAAGUUCAUCGGAGACCAGAAGGAUUUGCCCUAGAGGACAUUCAGCCCUUUGCGCAGUGUGAACUUGGCCGUGGAGCAGGGCCCUCCUCCCACUGCACCAGCAGCAACAGGGCAGCUACUCCACGCUGGGCACUGAAGAUGCUUCCUGGCCCUGAGGACCCAGACAAGGCCCAGGAUCCAACAAGACAGUGCCCCUGCGCUCCUGGACUGCAGCCCUCUCUGUGCACCCCUGAAGCACAUGGAUACGUCUCCAGGUACCAUCACCCUCCGCUUGUCACCAUCUUCUGGGGCCCGAGCAAGCAUUUCUUGGGAGCCUGUGUCCAUUUGAUGGGAUAUGGGGAGGGGUGUGUAGAUGACAGCGAGUCCAGCUAAGACCCCAUCUACACGGUGCGAAAACGCUCUGUGAUCCUAUCAUAACUCAGUCCUACCGGGUCUGUCUGCUUCCUGGGCAAGAGGAGCCCCGCCCCUCCCCAGGCACACCUGCCAGGCCAGCCGCAGCCCAUUGACACUAAUGGCUCUGGCUGCCGGACUUGCCUUGGCAGGAAGGGAUUGGGUUUCAGAAAUCCGAGAAUUAACUCAUCUUCCCAGGCUUUGAUGUGAGGCCUUAGCUCUGUGUGGAAACGUUGGACAUGCCACAUAUGCCCCCCCCUUCCAGCCUUACCCUUGCCCAAGAGGCUCCCCCUGGCUCGGCCGGAAGUUGGGUGGCUCGGAGGAACUGCUCUUUCCUCUCUAGCUCCUGACUCUCCUUCCUCUUGGCUACUCACUCUGUGUACCCCUUCUGCCAUGCCGCCCACACACACCCGGAUGCACACACACGCGCACGCACAUGCACACGCACCUGUCCCAUGGAACACGGUUGUAAUGACAUAACCACUAACCCUCUCCGACAGCCACUUUUCCCCCCGUCAGAAGAGAGAGAAAGCAAACCCAAGGCUAAAAAGGCAGCUGUGACCACACCGAAAGUGCUUCCUCUGAGUUCGAAUAGGUUGUAUUUUCCUGCGUUGUAAAGUACGUGGAAGGAGCGGGUGUCCUGGCCCGCUCACUGCUCUGCGAGAAG